UGUUUCGGCUAGGGGGCCAUCCCGGCUUACCAACCCGAUGCAAACUGCGAAUACCGGAGAAUGUUAUCACGGGAGACACACGGCGGGUGCUAACGUCCGUCGUGAAGAGGGAAACAACCCAGACCGCCAGCUAAGGUCCCAAAGUCAUGGUUAAGUGGGAAACGAUGUGGGAAGGCCCAGACAGCCAGGAUGUUGGCUUAGAAGCAGCCAUCAUUUAAAGAAAGCGUAAUAGCUCACUGGUCGAGUCGGCCUGCGCGGAAGAUGUAACGGGGCUAAACCAUGCACCGAAGCUGCGGCAGCGACGCUGAUGCGUUGUUGGGUAGGGGAGCGUUCUGUAAGCCUGUGAAGGUGGCCUGUGAGGGUUGCUGGAGGUAUCAGAAGUGCGAAUGCUGACAUAAGUAACGAUAAAGCGGGUGAAAAGCCCGCUCGCCGGAAG
rnacentral:rRNA from 1 species